CCUGGGCGGGGCCGGGGGCCGAGCACAGACAAGCUGGGCCGGGGGUCGGCGACGGCCGCGGCUGCUGAAGGAAAGUUGCCGGGAUCUGAGCGCCAGCAACCGCCUGAGCCGGAGCCGCCGGAUGAGGACCGCUCUGCAGGGAAGGGCGCGACCUUCGGAGACGCAGCUGGACCGCCCGACUGGACUGCGCAGGGUCGCCCCGGAGCGUGGAGCAGCCGGCGGGGGCCGCGGGCUGGCGGCGUGACUCAGGGUGCGCUCCAAAUACGCAGCCCCGGGGCGGGGCGGGGCGGGGCGCCCUGCCUGGUUUAGGCGCGGAUGGCCCAGGGCAGGCGAGGAGCCGGGCCUCAGCUCCGCAGGUACAGAAGAAAGGCCCGCCCGGAAGAGGCCUCUGCGCAGCUUGUGAGCAGCCGCAUCUUCCAGGUCUGGCUGGCUGUGUGCCCACUGAUGUCAUGUGGAGAAUGUUCUUAAGCUGCUCCAGGGGUCUCCGGAAUGCUGCCCAGCACUGCGCUCCAUCUCACAGGUCCCAGCACAAGGUGUGGGGUGUCUGCCACGGUCUCAUUGCUCCUAAGCCCCCUGGUAGAGAGUUAGGAGAUAUUGAAUCCUGCUGGAUCUUCAUCGUCUAAAGUUUUGCUUGGAUCCCAAGAGUUCUCCACUAUCACUUGGACUGACCUCAGAAAAUCUUGCUAUUGACUCUCCCCAUUUAUAUCUGACAAUUGGCUGGAGUCUGACUGAUGAAGACAUCAAAAAUGUUGACAUGAUUGGUGAAGAUAGAUGCCGCCUUUUCCCACAGGACUAAUUCGUUAGAGAUGAGUUUAGCAGUGGAUAUUGUCUUACACUGACAACUUUCCAUCUUUGUGUAAUCCCAUAACAUGAGAAAAUCAGACACCAAAUAUAUGGAUAUUGAAGAUCCUACAGAAAUAUAAAUAAAAAGUCCAAUGUGUAA